rnacentral:ncRNA from 1 species
UGAAAUGCAUUGAAGGAAUAAAGUAGUCUUUCUAUCCCUGUUCUAAGAGAGCCGGUGGGUGGUGUAAAUCGGUAUAUAUAGAAAAGAUGAAUUACAUUCUGGAGCUUUUGCUGUGAAGGUUAGUAGCAGCAAACGGUUGAAUUCCGUUAAAGUUUUUGAGUGGAGAAUUUUUUUCUCAAGUUGGGUGGUACCACGAUAAUUUCGUCCCUUCG